rnacentral:rRNA from 1 species
UACGUAGGGGGCAAGCGUUGUCCGGAAUCAUUGGGCGUAAAGCGCGCGUAGGCGGCUCUGUAAGUCCGUUGUGAAAGUCAAAGGCUCAACCUUUGAAAGCCGAUGGAUACUGCAGAGCUAGAGUCCGGAAGAGGCGAGUGGAAUUCCUGGUGUAGCGGUGGAAUGCGCAGAUAUCAGGAGGAACACCAAUAGCGAAGGCAGCUCGCUGGGACGGUACUGACGCUAAGGCGCGAAAGCGUGGGGAGCGAACGAGG